UCCGAGCGUUGACAAUGACCGCAAGACAAACACCGGUUGAGAUAUGGCGGUCUAGAAAUGAUCAUUAAUUUCAAGAUUGGAAUGGAAUAUGGUAAAGAACACAACAUGAAUAUGGUGAUAAACAGAUUGCUAUAGAACCAAAAACUAUGGGAGCUUGGGGAUUGUGCAGAAUAAGGGGAAUGUAUGAGAUUGUCAAAUGCUACAUCAACAAAAUGGUUGAAAGUGCAGUUGGUUAUUCUAAAUGCCGUUAAAAAUAUGUGGAUAUUGAGAAGCGGAAGUCAGAGCACCUGGAACGUGUUAGUAUCCUCAACAAUGACGGACGCCAGAUGGCAGUUAGCAAGUUAAGACAUUUUGUUUAUAUUUCUUUUUUCAAUUUAGUUUAUUGUAGACACAUAUUAGCUAUGAGAUGGGAGGCACACAUAUGCAGUCUUUGAUGAAUCAUGGUCCGAUCUUACCGAAGUUCUCUAUUCUAGGUACUUGACCAUAUUGUACACUAUAUAUGUACAUCUGUGUAUGCAAGGUUGUUUAACGGGUCGAACCCAACACGAAUCAAAACUAAAAAAGUAUCGAUGAUAGUGUCAUUUUCUCAUGGCUACAAUCAGUUUGUUAAUAUUGCAAACAAUCGCUUUGUAUCAA